rnacentral:rRNA from 1 species
CGUAGGGUGCGAGCGUUAAUCGGAAUUACUGGGCGUAAAGCGUGCGCAGGCGGUUUAGUAAGACAGGCGUGAAAUCCCCGGGCUCAACCUGGGAACUGCGCUGUGACUGCUAAGCUAGAGUACGGCAGAGGGGGGUGGAAUUCCACGUGUAGCAGUGAAAUGCGUAGAGAUGUGGAGGAACACCAAUGGCGAAGGCAGCCCCCUGGGUCGAUACUGACGCUCAUGCACGAAAGCGUGGGUAGCAAACAGGAUUAGAUACCCUGGUAGUCCACGCCCUAAACGAUGUCAACUAGGUGUUGGGAGGGUAAAACCUUUUAGUACCGGAGCUAACGCGUGAAGUUGACCGCCUGGGGAGUACGGCCGCAAGGUUA